rnacentral:rRNA from 1 species
UACGAGGGGGGCGAGCGUUGUUCGGAAUUAUUGGGCGUAAAGGGUGCGUAGGCGGUUUGGUAAGUCUUAUGUGAAAUCUACAGGCUCAACUUGUAGUCUGCAUGAGAAACUGCCGGGCUUGAGUAUGGGAGAGGUGAGUGGAAUUCCUGGUGUAGCGGUGAAAUGCGUAGAUAUCAGGAGGAACACCUGUGGCGAAAGCGGCGCACUGGACCACAACUGACGCUGAGGCGCGAAAGCUAGGGGAGCAAACAGG